GCUGUUUGCUUGGGAAACCUAACCUUGGCCCUGGGUGAGAAGGCUAGGAGAGGGUGUCUAGAUGGCCCUGAGAAGGUGGCUGGGUAGGGGCCCGUUUACAAGUUCAGGCUUAGCAUACCGUGGCCUGGGAAGAGUGAGGCUCUGAUGGAUGGUCUAUGACUAAGGCGCUGAGACCAUGAGUAGAGACUACUUGACAUGCUCCCCUGGAUGAGAAAAGCAGGAUAUACGAAAGCUAUGGGUCUGCUGCAGCUUAACUUAAAGGUAAGGACCGCCUCCUGCCCCUGCAGGUCUGCCCAGCCAUGACUUGGUGUUAAAGCCUCUGCCUGAGAUUUAGUCUGGACCCGCCUCUAACAAAGUUCUCGUAUGAUUACAAACACUUUCUGUUUAGGGCAGCCUUAAUACCAACUAGUUCUCAGCUUCAUCUAGUGUUAGCCGAUUCUCUUUCUAGUGGACAGAAACAUUUCUAAAAAUGUUCUGUGGGCUCUGUUUAGACAGAUGACCCUGAGGUGAGCGUCUAACACUUUGGACUUGCUGGAGUUGGGGCACUGGUGCCUAUGUACUCUAUAAAACAGCUCUCCCUGGGGCUGGUGCUUUGUUCUCGGUCAUCUGAGUUUAUCUUUUGUAGUUGACUUAAUUUUAUAUAUGCUAUCAAAUAAAGCUUUUGUCUACAUAUUGGUAUCCACGUUUCCCAGUACCCAUUGUUGAAGGCUGUCCCUUUCCCCAUUGAAUGGUCUUGCUGCCCUUGUCAAAAAUCAUGUGGCCGUGUAUGCAAGGUGUUUUGUCUGGGCUUUCUGUAUAGUCAUUCCAUUGGUCAAUAGGAUUGUUGAUGACAAGACCAUGGUAGCUUUGCAGGUUCAAGGGCGACCCAGCACCCACAUGAUAGCUCACAACUCCUCCUUACCCCCCCCCCCCCAUCUCCACCUGGCAGACACAUGUGUCAUAUAGGCAAUAUAUCCAUACUCAUAAAAGAAACAUUUACAACCAUUUUUAAGAUCAGACCCUGAUGUCUGCAAAAGACAUCAUUGGAAUUCUGAUAGAAGUUGUACCAAAUCUAUAAAUCCACUUGGGUAGUAUUAGUAGAUCGAUCCUAAGGUUUCCAGUCCAUGAACGUGGACCGGGUUUCUAUUUAUGUCUGCCUAUUUAUGUUUCUACUUAUGUCUGUUUUACAGUUGUUCACUCUGUUAAUAGUUAGGGUUCCUUUUGCUGUGAUAAAACACUAUGACCAAAAGCAACUUGAGGAACAAAAGGUUUAUUUCAUCUUAUGGCUUAACAGUCUGUCAUCUAGAGAAGUCAGGGCAGGACCCUGGAGGCAGGAGCUGAUGCAGAGGCCAUGGAGGGAUGCUGCUUACUGGCUUGCUCCUCGUGGCUUGCUUGGCCUGCUUUCUUAUCUAUCCAGGACCACCAGCCCAGGGGUGGCUCCACCACAUCAAUCAUCAAGAAAAUGCCCCACAGGCUUGCUCACGGACCAAUCUGUAGGGUAUUUUCUCAACUGAGGGUUCCUCUUCCAAAAAUGACUAUAGCCUGCAUCAAGUUGACGUAAGAACUAUCCAGCACAACCCUACUAAUUAUGAUUUUGUGUUCUGUUUUCUAGGCUGGCCUUGAACUUGUGAUCCUCCUACCUCCACCUUCUGAAUGUUAGUUAGGAUUACAGUUAUGCACCACCAUGUGUGAUAUAUUUGAUUCUGUAGCAAAUGGAAUUGUUUUUUAAUUUUCCAGACCGUUCAUUAUCAGUACAUUAAAAAUGUAAGAGUUUUGUCUAUUUUUAUCCUGCUAUUCUAUUGAACUGGUUUAUUAAAGUUGUUUUCUUUGUAUGUGUGGAAUGCAUAGGAUUUUUUAAAAGAUUAUUUUAUAUGAACACACUGUAGCUGUUUUUUGUUUGUUUGUUUUUUGUUUUGUUUUGUUUUUUACUUUUUGAGAUAGGGUCAUGUGUGGCCCAGCCUGUUCUGAGACAUCCUAUGUAAUUAAAGAUGACUUUAAAUUCC
rnacentral:lncRNA from 1 species